rnacentral:rRNA from 1 species
UACCAGCACCCCGAGUGGUCGGGACGAUUAUUGGGCCUAAAGCAUCCGUAGCCGGUUUUACAAGUCCUCCGUUAAAUCCAGCUGCUUAACAGAUGGGCUGCGGAGGAUACUAUAAGACUAGGAGGCAGGAGAGGCAAGCGGUACUCAGUGGGUAGGGGUAAAAAUCCGUUGAUCCAUUGAAGACCACCAGUGGCGAAGGCGGCUUGCCAGAAUGCGCUCGACGGUGAGGGAUGAAAGCUGGGGGAGCAACCGGG